rnacentral:lncRNA from 1 species
AAAAUAAAGGGUUAAUUUUAUAUAGUUUUGCUGUAAAUAUAAUAAAUAAUAAAUAUAUUUUUAUAAAAUUUAAUUUUUGUAUAUUGUUUGUUUUUAAAUAUGUCCCUCUGAUUUGUUACCGUUAGAUAGCCGUUAAAAAACUGUUUAUAUUUUCAAUUUUGCUAUCACAAAUAUAUUCCUUAAAAAAUCAUAACAGUAUAAUAUAAAGAAGUAAAAUGUCAAAAACUAACCAACAUUAAGUAUUUAACUUAUAGUUAAUUAAAUUUUUCUAACAGAUUCUAACGGUAGGGAUAUAUAUUUGAAAACAUCAGAAUUUUUAUAGAAACAACAUAUGAAAGUUGAACUCUAUAGAAAUAUAUUUAUCAUUCGCUACUUUUGCAGAGACCUAUAUGAAAUUAAUCCUAAAAUAAAUAUUGGUGCCCAGGACUCUUUCAAGAUAACAAAUUUAACAUCCAAAAUCCCAAAAAACAACCGACUUUAAUGAACUAGACCAGAAUACCACUAAAAUCACCUAGUUAUUAGUGCUAUUAGGUUUUCGACUCUUUAAUGAAGAGAUGUGCGGUCAAAAUGAUAAUGCUUCUCGAGUUGAAUGGGUGGUUGGUGGAAUGAUCUAAGAGGUAGAAAUAAUAAAAAAUAUAGAUCUAACAAUGAAAAAUUUAGUAGCACUAAGGGACCGUUCGAUUGGAUGUAGUUGUAAAUACAGUGUAGUUAAAAAUACAUACAGUUGAAAAUGAAGCAGUUGUAAUUACAUAUAAUUUGUUUGGUUUUGUGUAGAUGCAAUUAUUGCAAUUGCAUUUUUUCUAUUUGAUAAUUUGAAGCUGAUAGUUGUAUUUGUGAAUCUUAUCAUCUCUUUAGAUAGAGUGGUGAGGUUAUCUUCACUAUACAUAAAAUAAUUGUAUAACUUUAUUAAUUAUUUAAAUUUACUAUCUAUAAAUAAAUAAGUGGAUAUAUAUAAUAUUUUUAUAUUUUUCAAUAAUCCUUCAACUUAUCAAUCGACAUAUUUAAAAUUUUAAUUUAUUUAAUUUUAAUAUGUAAAUCAAACUUUAAAAAUUUAAACGAUUCUCUCAUUUUUUUAUCAAAUUUAAUAAUUAUAAUUAAUUAAAACUUAUUAAGUUCACAUACAUAAUCAUAUUCUAUCAAAAUUUAGAAAAAAAUUCUUUUUUAUAUUUUGAAUAAAUUUAAAAAAAUUUAAUUUUUUGCACAGAACUUGUAUUGCCUAAAAAAUAUUAUUAGUAUGAGUUUAUUUACAAGUAUUUUUAUUUAUCUAUAUAUAUAUUAUUUAUUUAUUUAUUUAUUAUUGUUAAUUUGUGGGUGAUCCUGUUCCUCACUAACUGCUGCAGUUGGAACUGCAACCAAUUUGGAUGUAGUUCCAACUACAGCAUUUGUACUUUCUUGUGCAGUUGCAACAGUUGCAACUGCAGUAGUGGUACUCUCAGCUGUAUUAAACCAAACACAAAAAUUGAGGUUGCGUGUAUUUGUAACUGCAAUAUAAUUAUAAAUGCGUGCAAUCAAAUAGCCCCUAAGUAUUUAGUGCUAUUGAUAGUAUUAUAGUCAGACUCUAGUUUAACUCUAUUCUUUAA